GAUGAAGAACGUAGCGAAAUGCGAUAAGUAAUGUGAAUUGCAGAAUUCAGUGAAUCAUCGAAUCUUUGAACGCACAUUGCGCCCGCCAGGAUUCUGGCGAGCAUGCCUGUUCGAGCGUCAUUUCAACCAUCAAGCCCCAGGCUUGUGUUGGAGCCCUGCGGCUGCCGCAGCCUCCCAAAACCAGUGGCGGGCUCGCUAUCACACCGAGUGCAGUAGUUUACUCUUCGCUCAGGGCGUGUGGCGGGUGCUAGCCGUGAAACCCCCAACUUCUCAAGGUUGACCUCGGAUCAGGUAGGAAUACCCGCUGAACUUAAGCAUAUCAAUAAGCGGAGGA
rnacentral:misc_RNA from 1 species